rnacentral:rRNA from 1 species
AGGGGAAGUCGGUGAUCCUAUGCUGCCAAGAAAAUCUUCUAGCGAGGUUCGAGCCGCCCGUACCCCAAACCGACUCAGGUGGUUAGGUAGAGAAUACCAAGGCGAUCGAGUGAAUCGUGGUUAAGGAAUUCGGCAAAAUACCCCCGUAACUUCGGGAGAAGGGGGGCCCAGAGGGUGACGGGACUUGCUCCCCGAGCCUGAACGGCCGCAGAGACCAGGGAGAAGCGACUGUUUACUAAAAACACAGGUCCGUGCCAAGUCGCAAGACGAUGUAUACGGACUGACGCCUGCCCGGUGCUGGAACGUUAAGGGGACCGGUUAGCCUCACGGCGAAGCUGAGAACUUAAGCGCCAGUAAACGGCGGUGGUAACUAUAACCAUCCUAAGGUAGCGAAAUUCCUUGUCGGGUAAGUUCCGACCUGCACGAAUGGCGUAACGAUUUCUCCACUGUCUCAACCACGAACUCGGCGAAAUUGCACUACGAGUAAAGAUGCUCGUUACGCGCAGAAGGACGGAAAGACCCCGGGACCUUUACUACAGCUUGGUAUUGGUGUUCGGUACGGCUUGUGUAGGAUAGGUGGGAGACUGUGAAGCUGACACGCCAGUGUCGGUGGAGUCAACGUUGAAAUACCACUCUGGUCGUUCUGGAUAUCUAACCUAGGUCCGUGAUCCGGAUCAGGGACAGUGCCUGGUGGGUAGUUUAACUGGGGCGGUUGCCUCCUAAAAGGUAACGGAGGCGCCCAAAGGUUCCCUCAGCCUGGUUGGCAAUCAGGUUUUGAGUGUAAGUGCACAAGGGAGCUUGACUGUGAGACUGACAAGUCGAACAGGGACGAAAGUCGGGACUAGUGAUCCGGCGGUGGCUUGUGGAAGCGCCGUCGCUCAACGGAUAAAAGGUACCCCGGGGAUAACAGGCUGAUCUUGCCCAAGAGUCCAUAUCGACGGCAUGGUUUGGCACCUCGAUGUCGGCUCGUCGCAUCCUGGGGCUGGAGUAGGUCCCAAGGGUUGGGCUGUUCGCCCAUUAAAGCGGUACGCGAGCUGGGUUUAGAACGUCGUGAGACAGUUCGGUCCCUAUCCUCUGCGCGCGCAGGAAACUUGAGAAGGGCUGUCCCUAGUACGAGAGGACCGGGAUGGACGAACCUCUGGUGUGUCAGUUGUUCUGCCAAGAGCACCGCUGAUUAGCUACGUUCGGGAGUGAUAACCGCUGAAAGCAUCUAAGCGGGAAGCAUGCUUCAAGAUGAGGUUUCCAUGGGGUUUACCCCGAGAGGCUCCCAGCUAGACUACUGGGUUGAUAGGCCGGAUGUGGAAGUGCGGUAACGCAUGGAGCUGACCGGUACUAAU